AUAAACGCUGGCGGCGUGCCUAACCCAUGCAAGUCGAGCGAUUUGUAGCAAUACAGAGAGCGGCGGAAGGGUGAGUAACACGUAGAAAUCUACCUCGACGGAGGGAACAACCCCGCGAAAGUGGGGCUAAUACCCAAAAAGAUCCGCAAGGAUCAGAGUCGCAAGGCCUGUCGAGAGGAAUCUGCGGCCCAUCAGCUAGUUGGUGAGGUAAUGGCUUACCAAGGCUACGACGGGUAGGGGGUCUGAGAGGACGUCCCCCCACACUGGAACUGAAACACGGUCCAGACGCCUACGGGUGGCAGCAGGGAGGAAUAUUGGACAAUGGGGGAAACCCCGAUCCAGCAACGCCGCGUGAGGGAUGAAGGCCUUCGGGUCGUAAACCUCUUUUAAGGGAGACGAGAAAGGACGGUAUCCCUGGAAUAAGUCACGGCUAACUACGUGCCAGCAGCCGCGGUAAUACGUAGGUGACGAGCGUUAUCCGGAUUUACUGGGCGUAAAGCGCUUGUAGGUGGCUCUGUAAGUUGGGCGUGAAAACACCAGGCUUAACCUGGUGACGCCGUCCAAUACUGCAGGGCUUGAGGAUGUCAGAGGAAGGUGGAAUUCCUGGUGUAGUGGUGAAAUGCGUAGAUAUCAGGAGGAACACCCGUGGCGAAGGCGGCCUUCUGGGGCAUUCCUGACACUGAGAAGCGAAAGCUAGGGGAGCAAACAGGAUUAGAAACCCUGGUAGUCCUAGCCGUAAACGAUGGAUGCUAGGUGUUGGCGGACUUAACCCUGCCAGUGCCGAAGCUAACGCGUUAAGCAUCCCGCCUGGGAAGUACGAUCGCAAGAUUA
rnacentral:rRNA from 1 species